rnacentral:rRNA from 1 species
UUAAUAAUAUUCUUACCAAAAAUAUAAUUAUUUUAAUAUUUGGUCCUUUCGUACUAAAAUAUUAUAAUUUUUUAAAGAUAGAAACCAACCUGGCUUACGCCGGUUUGAACUCAGAUCAUGUAAGAAUUUAAAAGUCGAACAGACUUAAAAUUUGAACGGCUACACCCAAAAUUAUAUCUUAAUCCAACAUCGAGGUCGCAAUCUUUUUUAUCGAUAUGAACUCUCCAAAAAAAUUACGCUGUUAUCCCUAAAGUAACUUAAAUUUUUAAUCAUUACUAAUGGAUCAAUUACUCAUAAAUUAAUGGUUUUAAAAAUUAAAAGUUUUUUAAAUUUUAAUAUCACCCCAAUAAAAUAUUUUAAUUUAUUAUAACAAAAAUAAUCUUUAUAAUUAAAAUAAAUAAAAUAUAAAGAUUUAUAGGGUCUUCUCGUCUUUUAAAUUUAUUUUAGCUUUUUGACUAAAAAAUAAAAUUCUACAAAAAUUUUAAAUGAAAC